rnacentral:lncRNA from 10 species
GUCAUUAUUAUGUCACAUAAGAUUAUGACUUCUAUCUUGCUAGUAGACCCUCUCCAUUAACUCUCUCUCUUUCUGAUUGAGUGUAAGCUGCUAUAUGAAGGGAUCCACAAGACGAAUAAUUAAGGGGGACCUCUGAUCAACAGCCAGCAAGGAACUGAAUCCCUCAGACCCACAACUCACAAGAAACUGAAGCUGAAGCAGAUUCUUCCUCAGUCAAGCUUCAGGUGCCCAGCUGUAUUGGUAGAGGAGACCAACCACACCCUCCACAGCACAGCACCUGGAGAGGAACUGCUGCCAUGACCAUAGAGGACACCCUCUGGAUACAAUGCCAGACUUGAUGUGGGACUGACCAACCUAUGGACCCCAGGCACCACCACCCAGACCUGCUCAGCACCUGAAACAUUCACAGCCGUGGAGAGAGAACUGUUCACUGCUACCAUCCACACUUCUGGGCCCCUUCAGCAGCAGGGUGACAAGGAAGAGGGAAAUCGACUUGGAAAAGAGGGGACCUCUGACCCAAGAGUUCGGUCAAUGCAUAUGUUGGCAGCCAGCUGCACAUCGCACCAAAUAUGAACUUCAAAUAGAAGAAAGCCUCAUUUGGAAGAAAGCUCAUGCACAGACUGUAAAUAUUUCAGAGCAGAUUGUGUCUCUGUAGAUUAAGUAAGUUGUGAAAGUCUGAACCUCUGCCAAAAUUUUAAGACCUUGACCUUUACAUCUCUGAGUUUCUAUCUGUCAUUUUU